CAGACACUUUCCUAGUGAGCAGGUCUUUUGUAGAUUUGUGCUAUUCCCCUUGUGAUAAUUACCACGCUGAGACACUCGCAUCCAGCCACCUUAGGUACUCGCACUCGCUCACUCCCACUCACCGGUAGCAGCAAGCCUAGCCAUCGUCCACACUCGUCCGGCAAGACACCUGCUGGACGACCUACAAGUGCUCAAUACUCGUUGAAAACUCAAAUCUCCAAUCAUUAUGUCACUCGUCACCGUCCUCGGGAGUAUGGGCACGGGCGGACGAAUUCCAGGCAGAGCAAAUGUUUACGGCUUUGGAGGCAUUCCGCCUUCGCUCAAGGAAAAGAAGCUGAAAGAAGCGAAGCUGCAGAACGCCCACGCUAAGGCAGCUGUCAUCGCCGCUGAACAGACUGCGGACACGAAAAAGAAAGAUGAUAAUAAAUGAGACACUGCCGAGGUGAAGAAGUGCUGUUGGUGAGGUUCUUCGUGCCUAGAGCUGCCACCAUGGGUAGAAGAUGAGGAAGGUGAAAGGCUGUACUCGUUUUAUGAUACCUGAAGAAGUGGUCGCCUGAACUAGGGUCCCAUACGCACAAAAGGCCAUCAGGGACUCGGUCAGGGCGGCCUGUUCUCCCAUCGCUCCCUCGUAGAUCCGUAGUGCUGUUGUUGUGAUUUUAUUUUUUUGUUUCCUUUUUUUUAGUUUGUUUUUAAUGUUUCAGUUUGAUUUUUUUUUUCUUUUAAUUCUCUCACUUCCUUGUUUUCCUAAGGUGGUUUAAUUUCUAGAUUUUUUUUCUAUUUCAUUUUUUUAUCUCUUUUUUUUGGUUGUUGUUGUUUUUUUCAUAAGCUGAUUCGUUUGGCUUAUGCUCUUGGGUCGUCUUCAUCGUCCGCGCCAGCUCCGGCCUCCCGCGACGGACAGGAAGAGGCAUCUGGCAUCUUGACCGCUGGCCGCGCCUGGUGCUCGCCCGAACCGCCCAUAUUCUGAAAGGGACUGUGAUUUUCAAUUUUUAUUGGCCUCCUAUAUUGAAUUUUGAGAUAUGAAGAGAUUUUUUUUUUUAUUAUAUGAGAUCAUUUACAACUUCAUUCGUAGUAGAAUCGUUAGUAUUUGAGAAAAAAAAGUGAAAAUUAACGUAUGUAGAUUUUAAGAAUUCGAUUUUUUAUGAGGUUAUUGAGAUCUAGUCACGUCCCCUUUGAAUUUGGGCUAUAUUUCUUAUUCUUUUAUUCUAUUAUUCUUUAUUUCUUUUUUUUUUUUUAGGUCUUUCUCUCUUACUUUGAACUCUUUAUAUAACUUUUACUCUUUAAUCAAAACAUGCGCGCAAGCAUUACCACCUCUGCUUUGUACAUACGCAGCAUUAAGCAUUUCAAGCGAACCGAUGCUGUAGUACUGUGUGUCUCCGGAUCAGGAAGGCGGGCAUGUCCUCGCCAGCACAAACUCUUCUAAAUUUUCGUAAUUUUUUAUUGCUCAAGAAAGUCAACGACGCCGUUGCUCUCGUACCUAAAUUGCCGAUGGAUAUUUACGGAUAUUUUUGAGUUUCUUUAAUCUAUUUUUACUUUCAAGUAAACCAGAAAAAAAAAGAAUAAAAGGUGCCUCACUGUAAAGCCUCCUAGAGUAAGUUAUUUUGAAUUUGAGAUUUUUUUGUUUUUUGUGAAAAAAGUUAGGGUUGUUAACGACCAGUUUUCUCAUGGGACCAGGUAGAUUGACCAUGCAGAAGCUAUCGACAUAUUUUUUCUAAUAUAUGAGGAUAUGCCUAGCGUUCUUGGUUUCAACGAGAAAUUAUACCGUUAUAUCAGGUUUUCAGGUGACAUGUUUACGACAAAAAUAAGAAAUUAUAAUCGAGAAUGACAUUUCUUUUUUAAUCUCACGAAUGAAUGAUUGAGUAUAAUGUGAAUGAAAUAUAUGAUAGGCCAAAAAUUUUCACUAUUUUACAUAGCCACAUGUCCAUGUAUAUCUCUACUUAGCAUAUCAUUUGAUAGCGAUGAUGAUGCGGUAUCAACUGCUUUUUUAUAUGUUAUAAGGGAUAAGCGUGUGUAUUGUGCGAGUGAAUGUAAAAGAAACCCAACAGAAAAGAAUCUUUGUAAAUAUAUUCAAACUAACAUUGCACUUCUGUAUCUACAUCAACUUGUGGUAUUUUCUACGCACUGGGUAUUACAGCUGACACAGAACUCUCCUUCUGUGAUACUGAUGUCACGUAAACCCAGUGUUGUGAGAAGUUAUCAGCAUUCUGUGAGAGUAAAGUAGGCACUGAAAGACUGGGUAAUGGACAUUGUCAUUCUCCACUCCUGACACGUGAGAGUAUUGAAAAUGUCAUUGCCCACAAGUGGUUUUCCAAUGUCACUGUCGUAUCAUUAUGACUUUAGAAUAUUGGCACUGUUGUUAUCCGGAACUAAGAAUAGAGGUUGGCACUGCUGUCACCCUUACAUUAACUUGGGUUCGGACAGUGCCAUUUAGCUUGCACGGUCUUAGUUACGGAUAACACAGUCAACAUAAGAGUUUGUUAAAACAGAGUGCCACCUUGCACCAACUACGAGUGAGGAAAAACAGUGCUGUUAUCGAUCUAAAAAGUUACAGUGAGACACCUGUUUGUUAUCUGUAUCUAAUAGAUGGAUAUUGGUAGAUGCAAUCUUCAUGUCCUAUUUACUUCUCGAUGUUCGAAGUUGAUAGGAACCAUAAUCAAUAUGUAAGGUUCUGUGAAUCCAUUAUUCUAAUCUACAAUAUUGUAUGUGUUGAAUUUUCUACCAUGAUGUAAUGCUGUGUUAUGUUAAGUAUCUACGUAGGUGAUAUAAGUUCCCCACAUUUUCGUAUUGUGAACCUAAAAAUUCCUUUUGAAAGAAUGCCAUUUGUGCUGUCGAUUUUGGAUUAUAUAAGUCUCCUUUUUUUCCCUUCCUAUGACGGUUCCAUCUUGUGAAUUAAGAUGCCCGUUCGAAAAAUAAUUUUUUGGUACAUAUCAGAAGAAUUCCCUUUAAAUCUACUAUUGAAUUCAGAGAUUAUCCAUUAUUUCUAUGCUUUCGACCAAAGAUUUAAGUAAGAACAAGGUUAUAAAUGUUUGUAAAUAACAUAUUAAUUCCAUUGAGGUAUAAAUGUCGUGUACGAGCAUAAAUGUUUACAACAUUACAUGUAAAACGGAUAAAUUUGUGAAUAGUAAAUUGUGCCUUGAAAUGUUUACGCCAUUAUCUCACUUCUGACAUGAUUACUCUAUCUAGAAACACAUGCUGUGACACUUCUAUUAGCAUGUAGAUAUGAACGAAAAGCAACAAUUUAACUUGUCUGUCUCUCCACGCUGUCUUUCCUUUAAGGGGAGUUCUACCCUUCUCUCGUCACAUACGUGGUUCAUGAUAAGAAAAUGAAAAUGUUUAUAUACAAAGACAUAUUUCUCAAUAAAUGUCUUCCUAUUAAA